rnacentral:rRNA from 1 species
CCUACGGGUGGCAGCAGUGGGGAAUCUUGGACAAUGGGGGCAACCCUGAUCCAGCAAUGCCGCGUGUGGGAUGAAGGCCUUCGGGUUGUAAACCACUUUUGGCGGGGGCGAAAUAUCGAGUGAUAAUACCAUUCGGUGAUGACAGUACCCGCAGAAUAAGCACCGGCUAACUACGUGCCAGCAGCCGCGGUAAUACGUAGGGUGCAAGCGUUAAUCGGAAUUACUGGGCGUGAUGCGUGCGGACGCGGGUGAAAUGCCCGGGCUCAACCUGGGAACUGCAUUUGUGACUGCUUGACUAGAGUGCGGCAGAGGGGAGUGGAAUUCCGCGUGUAGCAGUGAAAUGCGUAGAUAUGCGGAGGAACACCGAUGGCGAAGGCAACUCCCUGGGCCUGCACUGACGCUCAUGCACGAAAGCGUGGGGAGCAAACAGGAUUAGAUACCCCGGUAGUC